rnacentral:lncRNA from 1 species
GGAUUCAUUAACUUCAACAUCUUUAGAAAAUUGCUCCACCUUCAUCUUUAAUCAACAUUAACUAAAUUGACCAAACGAACAAUAGUGUAUAUAUAUGUACGGAAGAAGUGUAUAAGCAGAGGUAGAUGAGAAAUUCCGACAAGUUUUCGGUAGAUCCCAUGGUACUUGCACAAUCUCUCCUUCAUUCUUUAGAUAGAUACAAAUACAAUUGUGGAUGUAUUAAUAUUAUACAAUUGUCCAACCAUCUCAAGAGAUUCAAUAUGCAUUACACGCUUGAUACUUGAUUGAUUUAACUAUUCCUAAGACCAAUAGAAUAUAUUACGUAAAGAUCAUCUAUGGUCUCACAAGUCACAAUACAUGCAUUCAAACUUUGGGGUGGACAACAAUAGUUCCAGACCUA